rnacentral:misc_RNA from 1 species
AUUGUAAGAGAUAUAGUUUAAGGGAUUAAUUCAUGGAAGAUGACUGCAAUUUUGUUCCGGUUUAAUGGUACUUGGUAUCAUUUAAUGGGGUUGCAAGUAGAGGAUGUUGAUUUUUGUGUUUCUGUUAUGAGGAAUGGUAUCUAAUAAGCCCAUUUUCCUUAUUGGUGUACUUAUGAAUUAUGACCUGCCUUUGAUGUGCUUGAUGCUUGUAUAUAUUAGUAAUUUGGUAUGGGGAAACAUCAUAACUUGAUUUUCUUGUUAUGUAGAUAAAUACAUAUAUGAGGUCUAAUUGAAGCCAGUAACUGAUUCAUUUUGUUGUAUCAUUGUUGCUGAUAAUUACUAUCAGAUUUUGAUUUACUGAUGCUGGACAGAUUCGGAUUUUAGCGCAUAUAUAAUGAGAAGGAAAAGGUUUCAGUUUGCUAUUAGAAGUUCAUUAGUCUCAGUUUAAUCUUAAACCUGCAUUAGUAAUGCAGAAGUCCGGAGGGAUCUGUUUUCUUAAUAAACAAUCAUUCAUAUGAUUUGAUUGGAUGGAUGGAUCAAGUUUUGAUACAUUCUCUAGUGUGAUUUUAACACAAUUUGAGUGCUUUUAGUACAAAUAGGAUUAUUUUUAAGUAUGUUAAAGGUGGACUUUUCCUACUUGCUGUAUUAUCCAUCUGUGAUUUAUAGAUUUGUUUAACAUUACAAAGGAAAUUCUGAAUUAUCAACUCCAUAAACCCAGUUAUAUCAUUAUGCAUUUAGUCAACUAUUGUUUCAUAGCAUUUUACGCUACAAAAGGUGGAGUCAUUGAUGUCAAAUUUGAGCCAAUAUAGAUAACCUAUCAAAAAAAACUUAUAAAAAUGCCAAAAAAAAAAAU